AUUAGCAUAUCAUUAAGCGGAGGAAAAGAAACUAACAAGGAUUCCCCCAGUAACGGCGAGUGAAGCGGGAAGAGCUCAAGCUUAAAAUCUCCAUACUUGUAUGGCGAAUUGUAGUCUAUUGAGGCUGUUGUCAGCAUCGCGAUCGGGGACAAGUCCCUUGGAAAAGGGCAGCAUGGAGGGUGAUACUCCCGUCUCUGCUCCGAUUUGCGGUGUGUACGAUACGCUUUCUUUGAGUCGAGUUGUUUGGGAAUACAGCUCAAAGUAGGUGGUAAAUUCCAUCUAAAGCUAAAUAUUGGUGCGAGACCGAUAGCGAACAAGUACCGUGAGGGAAAGAUGAAAAGAACUUUGAAAAGAGAGUUAAAGAGUACCUGAAACUGUUGAAAGGGAACCGUAUCGUUUCCAGUGUUUUAUCCUGUGCAUAUUUCAUUCGCGGAGCAAUUUGCGGGUGCCCUGUGCAUGGGUGUGACGUCAGAGUCAGUUUGUAUGCUGCGGGAGAUGGUCAGUGAGGAGGUGCGUCACUUCGGUGAAAGUUAUAUCUCGCUGUCUAGUAGCCGUGGUUGAGACUGAGGUGCCUACAACAUGCCUUGGGGUUUCGUGUUGUCUCGUGUUAAUAACUGCUUUGAUAGCUUGCUAUGUCUGUGGUUUAUUGAUGCGAUUGAUGAUGCGGAUAACCUCUGCUGUUCGGGACUCUGGCGAAAUGGAGCGAUACGACCCGUCUGA
rnacentral:rRNA from 1 species